UGCGGUUCUCCUCCUUCUUAGCUCUUCUGGAGUGGAAGAAGUUUCUAAUACAUACUCAGCUUGAGCCUCACUUUGAUUAGCUUGUAUAGGUGGUGUCUUGCUAGUUCCUUCUCUGGCAGCCACAUCUAUUUGCUUUCCUAUACUCUUACUCAUCGUAACCGGCAUCCUUACUAUAAUAAGAGAAACAAAAAGAUUCAAUAGUUAAAUAUGACUUUAUCUGCAACGUGAGCUCUAUUGCACGAUCUAAGAUAUGAAGAAAAGAGACAAUCCUUAAAUGUCCCAUAGCCUCUUGUUUAUAGAUGUGGUGCACAACACACCCAUAAACAAGACUCUACGUAGACACGGCUUUGUAGAUUCCCUAGGAUGACUCACUCUAAUACCACUUUUGUCACGCCUCAAAUCCUAUUGGGGCGAACAGGCACCCGUAGCCGUGAAGGCCCGAGAGAACCAACCUAUAACCUUGGAAUUCACAUGCAUGCAACUAUAAUAGGCAAAGGUUUUUCCAUAUACGGAUAUAAUGCCUUAAUGAAAAAAAAAUAUAAACGACAAGCCCUAAAACUAUAUACAUAAUAGACUUGGCCGUUGGGGCCAUAACAUCUACAAGAUAACACACUACCAUGCUUAACUUUACAUUGGUCUACAAAGCCUCUAGAUGAUACACAAAAUUUAGCUAAGGUCGGGACAAACCCCCGCCAUACUAUUAACUUUUAUACAAUACCAAAAAUAUAGGGAACCGACUCGAAAAGCCUCGAAGCAAACUGGAGCUCACCAAUAGCAGAUGAAUAUCCUGGGCUCCUACUGAGGAGGCAUGUUUGCCGAAGCACCUGUGCCUGUAGCAUGAAAUAUAAGUCCCCCCAUAAGGGGAGUCAGUACGAAAAAAAUGUACUGAGUAUGCAAGGCGGAAAAGUAACAAUACAUGACAUAAAGGCUCAAUAAAAAUAUGAAACAAGUGUAAGAAUAGUGCUAGUGGACCACCUUUACAUUUACUUGUGGAACAGGGUACAUUACAUUUCUUUCUUCUUUUUACCUUCUUACUUCAUUAUCUUUGUAAUCCAUAUGAUACAAAUGACCAGCUAAUUAGUGGUAAAUAAUAAAUCAGGCUUAUUCCCCUGAGCUUCCACCUACAUAUAAAGUAUCGGGAUCGGCCCAUGCUAGGUCUAUACCCCUGAGCCGCCACCCGUUUAACAGAUUUCCGUUACUUAGUUUAUUAGCCUUUUGAGAUUGUUACUUCAGUGAUCAUAACCUUAUGGUACCUUGAAACAAUGAUCUAUCGAUAAGAGACCUGUAAAUAGGCAAUCAAUGCAAUAACAAUGAAGCAAGGAGUUGUUGGCACACUAAUGAAGUGUUUAGGAGUUAAAAAUAACACAUGGGUCUUAUUUGAGUAACCGGAGAAAUUCUGAAAUUUACUAGUGAAAAUAGGCAUAUAGGAUAGGUAGCAAGCAUGUAUCGAGGUGGUUUAAUACAUUAUAGAGUGGGAAUAAGUUCAUUAGUAACAUGGGAUAUCAUAGUUGCUAUUAUUUAGCACGUGUUUUUGGAUGACCUUCGAAGCUUACUCGAUGGAACAAGUAUCUGUUUUCACGCCAAGAGUGCAAAAUAGAGUAUGCCUUACAUACCUAGUUGUAAAAAUCCAAUACCAGCCCAACUCGACUUCCCUCACUUUUAGAUUACUUAUCUACAUAUGGCAAACUAAUAUUACCAACUAAACGUCACAUUUUGGCUAUUUAACUUCACCAAACUAGUGGCCGGGAAGUAAGCCCUUAAUUUAUCAACAAAGGGUGUCAUUUUAACCCUCUUAUACUCCAGUUACAGCCACAUACCAUACAUAUUCAUAUAAUAUCCCCCGACACAACCUCGGCUUCAUUUCACCUUCCAAUCAACACACACAAAACGAAAUGAGUAAUAGACAUACACAAUCAUAAAUUCAGUGGUGUAUCACCAUAUCCAUCUUCUAUAAUUCAAUACAAACUAAUCAUACCUUUUCCCAAUAGCAACCGGGCAGCCCACAACACAAACACACAAAACAGUCCGCAACAACACCCAAUCGUCCUUUAAUAGCAACCCAAUAUAUGCAAUCCUCUAUCAACACAUGUAUAUGGAAAAAAGACAAAAGUGGACAGCAACCAUACCUUGAUUUCCUUGGUAUUUUUGUGUCUUAAUAUGUAUUUCCUCAAUAGGAUAAUCCCAUCACACAUACAUCAAAAGAGAAAGAGAAAUCCCUUAAUAACUAAGAACAAUGGACUGUCCAAACUUAUAAAGAGGGCUGUCCGAAAAUUAAUCUUAAAGAACAUAUAGUUUCCAUGGUACAAGCUCAUGAAUUGUUCACUUACCUUUAGCUUGGAAGGAAAGUAAAUCCCAAGAAACCUUGUGGAAUUAUAGGUUUGUUUUAUAGCCAAGAGAGAACAAGAGAGAAAAACCUAGAAAGCUGGAAAUUUUGUCUAAGUUAAAAUGAGAAAAAUU
rnacentral:lncRNA from 1 species